rnacentral:tRNA from 1 species
UAGUUUAAUGGUAAAGCACCCAACCGGCAAUUGGGAAAUCUGGGUUCAAGUCCUGG